rnacentral:rRNA from 1 species
AUUGAACGCUGGCGGCAGGCUUAACACAUGCAAGUCGAGCGGGGGAAGGUAGCUUGCUACCGGACCUAGCGGCGGACGGGUGAGUAAUGCUUAGGAAUCUGCCUAUUAGUGGGGGACAACAUCUCGAAAGGGAUGCUAAUACCGCAUACGUCCUACGGGAGAAAGCAGGGGAUCUUCGGACCUUGCGCUAAUAGAUGAGCCUAAGUCGGGUUAGCUAGUUGGUGGGGUAAAGGCCUACCAAGGCGACGUUCUGUAGCGGGUCUGAGAGGAUGCUACGCGACGCUGGGACUGGGACACGGCCCAGACUCCUACGGGAGGCAGCAGUGGGGAAUACUGGACAAUGGGAGGAACCCUGAUCCAGCCAUGCCGCGUGUGUGAAGAAGGCCUUAUGGUUGUAAAGCACUUUAAGCGAGGAGGAGGCUACUUUAGUUAAUACCUAGAGAUAGUGGACGUUACUCGCAGAAUAAGCACCGGCUAACUCUGUGCCAGCCGCCGCCGUAA